CAGGGGCAUUAUAAAAUUUAUAUGUAUAUAUAUUUGAUUUAUAUACACAUUAGGGGCACCUGCUGGUGUAGUGGUUAGUGCUGCUCCCUUCGGACCCACAGGUCUCAGGUUCAAACCCCACCUCUAGCUGUAGUAUCUUUGAGCAAGGUCCUCACCCUUAAGAAGUACUACAGUAAAACAACCGAGCUGCAUAAAGGGGUACUUGGUGUAAGAAAUCAGACUGGAGGAGAAUAGGUACGUCCGCAGCGGCUGAAAUUCGAAGGGUGAACAGCAGAGUUUCGGUCCGAUUCCAAGAGGCCUUUUCCAAUCUCGCGUCUCUCUAGCGACGUUGCCCUUCGGUGUGCGGCUCACAUUUAAUUUCUCAUCAUUUCACCUCACGCUCUGUCCGCAGAAGUCAUGUUAAUCACCAGGCUGGCGUACGUUGGAGAUAACGUCACUUUUUACUGCAAGAUGGCAGCGGAUGCCGAAAGCGACGGGGGUUGCAUAAUAAACCUCCGAGGAGAAAAUAUGAACUUGUCGCACAAGUGGCGGGACAAGACGUCAGGCAGCAGGUUUGUGCUGAAGAACGUAGAGUGGAAGGACGCCGGGCGGUAUUUCUGCGAAACGGACUGCCAGACGGCCACGGAGAAGUCCAACAGCUCGGUCGUCCUCGACGUGAACGUCAAGGAGGACGAAAAGCGCGGUCUCAUGAUCCCAGUAAUCUUUGGGAGUCUCCUUGUCCUCAUCUUGCCGCUGUCCUUCGUAAUCCUAAUGUCAAAGAGAUGGCAGGUCCAACCAAGCGCACGCGGAGAAGUUCCCGAGGAGCCGGAACCAUUUUAUUACGAAUUAAGAGAGGAUGGGAUAUAACUGGAGACGUUCUGGACACGCUCCGUCUCUAGGGUCUGCGCCGUUUACCACGUUCGGACGGGUCGGUUCAGAGGCGGAGAGGUUCGCGAGCCCCGCGGAGCUUACGGCCACAGUACUUUUCAUAGUGCGCUGACCCCGUCCCUGUCCCAUCUCCAUCACAGCAGCUCUGAAGGUGUGUCUUCCAAUCCAAGGGCUGCCAAACUGACAGAUGGUAAAGGGCAACAUGAAAUUGGAAUAAAAGCUGAUCAAAUGUUGCUGUGACUGAGGAC
rnacentral:lncRNA from 1 species